rnacentral:lncRNA from 1 species
UGGUAGGUUGUCACGUAGAUUCUGAGAUUUUUCUAGUUGGCAUAAACCAAAUACUAAAUCAGCUUGGGUCGGCCAUCAUCAAGGUCGGAUUGGGAUCACCUUUUCUAUGUGUCGGCUUUAUCCAAGGAAAGAAUUUUUCUAUUCAUAACAUAAGCCCCAUAUUCUAAAGUCUGAACUAGAAUUAGGUCGGACGAAGGAAGUAUAUAUAAUAGCCAACAC